ACACACACACAUAUAUAUAUAUAUAAAUAUAAGGUAUUGGUAUCUAGAAGACCCAAAGAGUUGCAGGUAAUGCUAAGUAAUUGCUAUGAACAGACUGUAGUUAAACUCUUGGU